rnacentral:siRNA from 1 species
AGACGCAUUGUGCUCCAGUGGUCA